rnacentral:rRNA from 1 species
UACGGGGGGGGCAAGCGUUGCUCGGAAUUACUGGGCGUAAAGGGCGCGUAGGCGGAUAUCUAAGUUGGGGGUGAAAUCCCGGAGCUCAACUUCGGAACUGCCUUUGAUACAGCACGUCUUGAGUCCGAUAGAGGUGGGUGGAAUUCCUAGUGUAGAGGUGAAAUUCGUAGAUAUUAGGAAGAACACCGGUGGCGAAGGCGGCCCACUGGAUCGGUACUGACGCUGAGGUGCGAAAGCGUGGGGAGCAAACAGG